rnacentral:rRNA from 1 species
UUGAGAGUUUGAUCCUGGCUCAGAACGAACGCUGGCGGCAGGCUUAACACAUGCAAGUCGAACGAGAAGCUACCUUCGGGUAGUGGAAAGUGGCAGACGGGUGAGUAACGCGUGGGAAUAUACCUAGAGGUACGGAACAACGCCGGGAAACUGGUGCUAAUACCGUAUGUGCCCUUCGGGGGAAAGAUUUAUCGCCUUUAGAUUAGCCCGCGUUAGAUUAGCUUGUUGGUGAGGUAAAAGCUCACCAAGGCGACGAUCUAUAGCUGGUCUGAGAGGAUGAUCAGCCACACUGGGACUGAGACACGGCCCAGACUCCUACGGGAGGCAGCAGUGGGGAAUCUUGCACAAUGGGCGAAAGCCUGAUGCAGCCAUGCCGCGUGUGUGAUGAAGGCCUUAGGGUUGUAAAACACUUUCAGAGGGGAAGAUAAUGACGGUACCCUCAGAAGAAGCUCCGGCUAACUCCGUGCCAGCAGCCGCGGUAAUACGGAGGGAGCUAGCGUUGUUCGGAAUUACUGGGCGUAAAGCGCGCGUAGGCGGAUUGGAAAGUUGGGGGUGAAAUCCCAGGGCUCAACCCUGGAACUGCCUCCAAAACUCCCAGUCUUGAGUUCGAGAGAGGUGAGUGGAAUUCCGAGUGUAGAGGUGAAAUUCGUAGAUAUUCGGAGGAACACCAGUGGCGAAGGCGGCCUCCUGGACUGACAUUGACGCUGAGGUGCGAAAGCGUG